UACGAAGGGGACUAGCGUUGUUCGGAUUUACUGGGCGUAAAGCGCACGUAGGCGGAUUGUUAAGUCAGGGGUGAAAUCCUGGAGCUCAACUCCAGAACUGCCUUUGAUACUGGCGAUCUUGAGUCCGGGAGAGGUGAGUGGAACUGCGAGUGUAGAGGUGAAAUUCGUAGAUAUUCGCAAGAACACCAGUGGCGAAGGCGGCUCACUGGCCCGGUACUGACGCUGAGGUGCGAAAGCGUGGGGAGCAAACAGG
rnacentral:rRNA from 1 species